ACAAUAUAUAAGCAACCAUAGUUGAUAGUUAGAGGUUGUGUGUGUGAGCUUAGGUGGGUGAGGUAGGCCUUGGAUAGUUGGAUUUGCUGUAAGUAAAAGGCCUCGAGGGAGAGCCAAACAAACUUGCCUCUCUUCAAAUUCGCUGUUUUCCUCUCUGUUACCUCAACGAGGUUUCUCCACUCUCUCUCUCUCUCUACAUGUUUCUACCUUGUCUUCUUUUUCUUCCUCGGUACUUCACCCUCUCUACCCUCAUAACCUUAAACUUCACAACUGGGGCAGCACUUAAUCCUUUCUUACUUCUGCAUAUUCUUCAGCCUCGUCACAUUGCUUUCAUCACCUAAGCCAUUUUUCCCUCCUUUUUUUCAUCUGUUUGAAUGGAGAGACAUAUAAACCAAAACAUGAAACUCAACAGAAAUUAAGGUUGUCCUGUUCUGAGACAGAAAAUUGUCUUCUAACUUAACACUCAGUCCUCACACAGUUCGUUCAUGAAAGUAAGUACUAAGGAGCUUUGAUUGAAAGAAGGAACAAUAGACAGUGUGACAUCAAUUCAGAACCUUUGUAUCCGUGAAUAGAGAAAGCUUCAUGAAGUUGUGAGCUUUGUCCCAACAAUGAGAGAUGAGAACUCGAAGAAGAGCAAGCUUUCUUGGUCAAAAUCAUUGGUCAAGAAGUGGUUCAAUAUCAAGAACAAAGCUGAGGAUUUUCACUCAGAUGAGGUUCUCUCCCAAGGUGUUGAUGAAGAGUGUAGCAGCAACUAUUCAGAAAGGGAGGCAUGCACCAUCAGGAAAAGCAAAUCAGAGAGAUCAAGCAGAUGGUACUCAGACAGAAUGCGAAGAGGAAGAGGUAAGAAUGACCUUGAUGAAGCUCAGGUUACAGAUGUGUAUAACUAUAGAAUCUUUGCUGCCACUUGGAAUGUAGCAGGGAAGUCACCUCCAUGUUAUUUGAGUCUUGAAGACUGGCUUCACACAUCUCCACCUGCUGAUAUCUAUGUUCUUGGGUUUCAAGAAAUUGUACCUCUUAAUGCGGGUAAUGUUUUGGGAACAGAAGACAAUGGUCCUGCAAGAAAAUGGCUAGCCCUUAUUAGGAGGACCCUGAACAGCCUUCCUGGAACAAAUGGCGGAUGCCACACUCCUUCGCCCCUCCCUAAUCCUAUUGUAGAGCUAGAUGCCGAUUUUGAGGGAUCAAUGAGGCAGAAGGCAACUUCUUUCUUUCAACGAAGAUCCUUCCAAUCCUUGAGUCGUAGUAUGAGAAUCGAUAAUGAUAUGCUAAUGCCCCAAGCCUGCCUUGAUCGCCGUCUCAGUGUCUGUGAUAGAGUGAUGUUUGGUCACAGAACGAGCGACUAUGAUCCCAAUUAUCGAUGGGGUUCCUCAGAUGAAGAAAAUGGCACUGGUGACUCCCCAAUUACAGCACAAUAUUCACCAAUGUCAUAUGGCGGUUGUUUCUCUACAGAAGACAGUGAUAGACACACAGGACACUCAAGAUAUUGCUUGGUUGCUAGUAAGCAAAUGGUUGGGGUAUUUCUAACUGUUUGGGUGAAGAGUGAUAUAAGAGAUGAUGUUCACAACAUGAAAGUGUCUUGUGUUGGCAGAGGCUUGAUGGGAUAUCUUGGAAACAAGGGAUCAAUAUCAAUUAGUAUGUCAUUGCACCAAACAAGCUUUUGCUUCAUUUGUAGUCAUUUGACUUCUGGACAAAAGGAUGGUGACGAGUUACGGAGAAAUUCAGAUGUAAUGGAGAUUCUCAGAAAGACAAGGUUUCCCCCUGUCCUAGACAUCGGUGGUGAGUAUUCUCCUCAGACAAUUCUGGAACAUGACCGAAUAAUUUGGCUGGGGGAUUUAAAUUAUCGGAUAGCCAUUUCUUACCGUGCAGCAAAAGCUCUUGUUGAGAUGCAUGAUUGGAAGACUUUGUUAGAGAAUGACCAGUUGUGUAUAGAGCAGAGGCAAGGUCGAGUCUUUGAAGGAUGGAAUGAAGGGAAAAUAUAUUUCCCUCCCACUUAUAAGUAUUCAAACAAUUCAGACAGAUAUGCAGGUGAUGACAGACACUCAAAACAAAAGAGAAGAACUCCAGCAUGGUGUGAUCGUAUCUUGUGGUAUGGAAGGGGCCUUCACCAAUUAUCAUACGUUCGUGGGGAGUCAAGAUUUUCUGAUCAUCGGCCAGUGUAUAGCAUGUUCUUGGCAGAGGUUGAGUCUGUUAGCUGUAACCAAAUAAAGAAAAGCUCCAGUUCCAGGAUUGAAGUAGAAGAGUUGUUUCCACAUUCACAUGGUUACGGCUACACUGAUUUGAACUACUUUUGAUGAAUGCCUAAUUGUCUAUAAUUCUUAUUCCAUGAGAUCAACUAGGCUAUUUGAGGGAACUGAAACAGUUUAGUGUAUAACACAAGUAAUGGAUUUGACCAUGUCGUUCUUCCUAAUAAAGUUUCUAGUUGAAAUGUCAUGCAAGCCUUAUCCUAUACUUGACUUGGGGCCCCUCCUCUUUUAGGUAGGCAAUACAGUGAGUGAGCAAUUGCCAGCCACAAUGAUGAUCGAGACAUUCUGUUAUCCUCACUUUCAAACAAGCUGCAGAGUUUGUGGUCUUGCACUAUGGAUAUUUGCGGCUCACAGCCUUAUUGGUAGAAUAAUGGCUAUGUGGAUCAAAGAAAAUAUACAGCAUUUAUUCUCAAUUCUCAUGAAUGAGAGGAUUUGAAGAUUCUAACCAAGGUGUUUGACUUAUUCUUUAACACAAUUGAGAUAAACCAAGGGAAUAUUUGUACCCCGUGUUAAUUAUCUUAUUCGUUUAUCUUGAGUUCUUAACCACCCUAUUAUUUUCUUAUAGCAGCCAACUUUGAUGAGAAUCAUUGCAGCUAAUGAGUGAAAUUUAUGUUGUUGUUUUCAAUUUUGUUUUUAUGAAUAAGUUGCAACAAAAAGGAAAAAAGGAACCACGCUACUUAAACUGCUUUGUUGGCUUUUACCAGUAAGUCAUUAUUUGUACCUGAUGCCUAAACUUCUUUUUCCUUUUGUUUCAUUCUGAUUCGAGCACGUCUCAUUGAGCAACAUUUAUUCAGUUUCAGUCAA